UACGGAGGGUGCUAGCGUUGUUCGGAAUUACUGGGCGUAAAGAGUACGUAGGCGGUUUGAUAAGUUGGGAGUGAAAUCCCGGGGCUCAACCUCGGAAUUGCUUUCAAAACUAUUAAACUAGAGUAUGGUAGGGGACAGUGGAAUUCUUAGUGUGGGGGUGAAAUCCGUAGAUAUUAAGAGGAACACCAGAGGCGAAGGCGACUGUCUGGGCCACUACUGACGCUAAGGUACGAAAGCGUGGGGAGCAAACAGG
rnacentral:rRNA from 1 species